rnacentral:rRNA from 1 species
GGCACUACGGUGCUGAAGCAACAAAUGCCCUGCUUCCAGGAAAAGCCUCUAAGCAUCAGGUAACAUCAAAUCGUACCCCAAACCGACACAGGUGGUCAGGUAGAGAAUACCAAGGCGCUUGAGAGAACUCGGGUGAAGGAACUAGGCAAAAUGGUGCCGUAACUUCGGGAGAAGGCACGCUGAUAUGUAGGUGAAGUCCCUUGCGGAUGGAGCUGAAAUCAGUCGAAGAUACCAGCUGGCUGCAACUGUUUAUUAAAAACACAGCACUGUGCAAACACGAAAGUGGACGUAUACGGUGUGACGCCUGCCCGGUGCCGGAAGGUUAAUUGAUGGGGUCAGCGCAAGCGAAGCUCUUGAUCGAAGCCCCGGUAAACGGCGGCCGUAACUAUAACGGUCCUAAGGUAGCGAAAUUCCUUGUCGGGUAAGUUCCGACCUGCACGAAUGGCGUAAUGAUGGCCAGGCUGUCUCCACCCGAGACUCAGUGAAAUUGAACUCGCUGUGAAGAUGCAGUGUACCCGCGGCAAGACGGAAAGACCCCGUGAACCUUUACUAUAGCUUGACACUGAACAUUGAGCCUUGAUGUGUAGGAUAGGUGGGAGGCUUAGAAGUGUGGACGCCAGUCUGCAUGGAGCCGACCUUGAAAUACCACCCUUUAAUGUUUGAUGUUCUAACGUUGACCCGUAAUCCGGGUUGCGGACAGUGUCUGGUGGGUAGUUUGACUGGGGCGGUCUCCUCCUAAAGAGUAACGGAGGAGCACGAAGGUUGGCUAAUCCUGGUCGGACAUCAGGAGGUUAGUGCAAUGGCAUAAGCCAGCUUGACUGCGAGCGUGACGGCGCGAGCAGGUGCGAAAGCAGGUCAUAGUGAUCCGGUGGUUCUGAAUGGAAGGGCCAUCGCUCAACGGAUAAAAGGUACUCCGGGGAUAACAGGCUGAUACCGCCCAAGAGUUCAUAUCGACGGCGGUGUUUGGCACCUCGAUGUCGGCUCAUCACAUCCUGGGGCUGAAGUAGGUCCCAAGGGUAUGGCUGUUCGCCAUUUAAAGUGGUACGCGAGCUGGGUUUAGAACGUCGUGAGACAGUUCGGUCCCUAUCUGCCGUGGGCGCUGGAGAACUGAGGGGGGCUGCUCCUAGUACGAGAGGACCGGAGUGGACGCAUCACUGGUGUUCGGGUUGUCAUGCCAAUGGCACUGCCCGGUAGCUAAAUGCGGAAGAGAUAAGUGCUGAAAGCAUCUAAGCACGAAACUUGCCCCGAGAUGAGUUCUCCCUGACCCUUUAAGGGUCCUGAAGGAACGUUGAAGACGACGACGUUGAUAGGCCGGGUGUGUAAGCGCAGCGAUGCGUUGAGCUAACCGGUACUAAUGAACCGUGAGGCUUAACCUUACAACGCCGAAGCUGUU